rnacentral:rRNA from 1 species
GACGAACGCUGGCGGCGUGCUUAACACAUGCAAGUCGAACGGAAAGGCCCUGCUUUUGUGGUGUGCUCGAGUGGCGAACGGGUGAGUAACACGUGAGUAACCUGCCCUUUACUUUGGGAUAACUUCAGGAAACUGGGGCUAAUACCGGAUAGUAGCUCCUGCUGCAUGGUGGGGGUGGGAAAGUUUCGGCGGUUGGGGAUGGAAUCGCGGCUUAUCAGCUUGUUGGUGGGGUAGUGGCUUACCACGGCUUGGACGGGUAGCCGGCCUGAGAGGGUGACCGGCCACAUUGGGACUGAGAUACGGCCCAGAGUCCUACGGGGGGCAGCAGUGGGGAAUAUUGCGCAAUGGGCGGAAGCCUGAUGCAGCGACGCCGCGUGCGGGAUGACGGCCUUCGGGUUGUAAACCGCUUUCGCCUGUGACGAAGCGUGAGUGACGGUAAUGGGUAAAGAAGCACCGGCUAACUACGUG